rnacentral:rRNA from 1 species
GAUGAACGCUGGCGGCGUGCCUAAUACAUGCAAGUCGAGCGAACAGACGAGGAGCUUGCUCCUCUGACGUUAGCGGCGGACGGGUGAGUAACACGUGGAUAACCUACCUAUAAGACUGGGAUAACUUCGGGAAACCGGAGCUAAUACCGGAUAAUAUAUUGAACCGCAUGGUUCAAUAGUGAAAGACGGUUUUGCUGUCACUUAUAGAUGGAUCCGCGCCGCAUUAGCUAGUUGGUAAGGUAACGGCUUACCAAGGCAACGAUGCGUAGCCGACCUGAGAGGGCGAUCGGCCACACUGGAACUGAGACACGGUCCAGACUCCUACGGGAGGCAGCAGUAGGGAAUCUUCCGCAAUGGGCGAAAGCCUGACGGAGCAACGCCGCGUGAGUGAUGAAGGUCUUCGGAUCGUAAAACUCUGUUAUUAGGGAAGAACAAAUGUGUAAGUAACUAUGCACGUCUUGACGGUACCUAAUCAGAAAGCCACGGCUAACUACGUG